CGGCCGUAUUAAUUUCUGGUACAUCAGAUCAUCGAAUCAGCUAUUCCAUAACAUACCAAGUACUUUUGUGUUUUGUCCGCAUAUAGUACUUUUUCUGUCUUAGCUAGCUUACGUAUAUCCACACUGUUUGACGUCCAGGAUCGUAGAUAGAAUCCAGUUUCCUCCAUCAUUGUUCUCCCUUCCUUAUAGUCAGCACACCCUCGUU
rnacentral:lncRNA from 1 species